UUUAAAAAUGGCGAUGGGGUUCGCCUCUAACCAUCCAUAAAGGAUUGAUGACCCCUACUGAAAC
rfam:Candidatus Schekmanbacteria bacterium RBG_16_38_11 RBG_16_scaffold_39291, whole genome shotgun sequence.